rnacentral:rRNA from 1 species
UACGAAGGGGGCUAGCGUUGCUCGGAAUCACUGGGCGUAAAGCGCACGUAGGCGGACUUUUAAGUCGGAGGUGAAAUCCUGGAGCUCAACUCCAGAACUGCCUUCGAUACUGAGAGUCUUCGAGUUCGGGAGAGGUGAGUGGAACUGCGAGUGUAGAGGUGAAAUUCGUAGAUAUUCGCAAGAACACCAGUGGCGAAGGCGGCUCACUGGCCCGAUACUGACGCUGACGGUGCGAAAGCGUGGG